rnacentral:tRNA from 1 species
GGAGAAGUACUCAAGUGGCUGAAGAGGCUCCCCUGCUAAGGGAGUAGGUCCUAAUUUACGGGGCGCGAGGGUUCAAAUCCCUCCUUCUCCG